UCCAGACUCCUACGGGAGGCAGCAGUGGGGGAUAUUGCACAAUGGGGGAAACCCUGAUGCAGCGACGCCGCGUGGGUGACGAAGUAUUUCGGUAUGUAAAGCCCUAUCAGCAGGGAAGAAGAUGACAGUACCUGACUAAGAAGCCCCGGCUAACUACGUGCCAGCAGCCGCGGUAAUACGUAGGGGGCGAGCGUUAUCCGGAUUUACCGGGUGUAAAGGGAGCGUAGACGGCUGGUCAAGUCUGAAGUGAAAGCCCGGGGCUUAACCCCGGAACGGCUUUGGAAACUGAGCAGCUAGAGUGCUGGAGAGGUAAGCGGAAUUCCUAGUGUAGCGGUGAAAUGCGUAGAUAUUAGGAGGAACACCAGUGGCGAAGGCGGCUUACUGGACAGUAACUGACGUUGAGGCUCGAAAGCGUGGGGAGCAAACAGGAUUAGAUACCCUAGUA
rnacentral:rRNA from 1 species